AGCACAUGGAAAGCAGCCGUUAAAUCAGCCGCUAAAACAGGUCACAAAACACUGCUCACUGAAGAAGAAAAUGAAUUCCCACUUAGGAAUGAACGCAACCUUCCCUGAUGCCUCUGGGUGGAGCCAGUGAGGCCAGAGCUGGCUGAAGAGGAAAAGAUAAAGCACCGCGGUCCAACCAGGGGUGCAGAGACUUGGGAGCCAAAAUGAGAGGUGACUACAAGGAGGAAGGGGAAGAGACAGAGAACCAGUGAGGCAGCAUGUGGAGGUUUCUGGUGUGUUGAAGAGAUUGGAACAUUAUUAUUGGCUCCACACCCUCCAGGUACAUGAUUGAACUCUGCUCCCAUGAAUAUGAUUGGCUGAGACUCCUGCAACAUGUCAGCAGAUAAUCUGUCCUGUGAAGUUCUGGCUGUUUUCACUUCAUACACAUUCUUCUAUGUUGGCAGGGGUUCCCUGAGCUCUGAGGGGAGGGAUUUGAUGGAGACCUCCAUUUAGGGUUGGCUGUUCCAAGGCCUCUCACUCUCUGCGUGUGUCUGGCUAUGGGUCUCUAUGUUUAUCCCCAUCUGCUGAAGGAAGAAGCUUCUCUGAGGAUGGCUGAACAAGGCCAGAAGAGGGCACCAGAUCUCAUUAUGGAAGGCUAUGAGUCAGCAUGCGGUUGCUGGGAAUUGAACUCAGGACCUUUGGAAGAACAACCAGGGCUCUUAGCCUCUGAGCCAUCUCUCCAGCCCCACCCUCCCAAGACUCAACGAUAGGACCCAGGUUACACUUUGAACAAUUUAAGAGGCAGAAGCCUGCAAUUCUGGUCACUUGGGCAGAAGGGAGAUUUACCCAGCAAAGGUAGCUAUCCAGUGGUGUCAACAUGUACCUUCCACAGCAUGGAAGGGUUUCAAGAAUGACCAGGGGUAGAAGUAUUGAACUAAGGAAUGAACACUGCCAUUCCUGUCCAAGGCUGCUUCGGGAGUCACGUGGUGCUGUACCUGCUGUGUCAGUACGAGGUAGAAGAUGCACAGAAUGUUUC